rnacentral:rRNA from 1 species
UGGGGAAUAUUGCACAAUGGGGGAAACCCUGAUGCAGCAACGCCGCGUGAAGGAAGAAGGUUUUCGGAUCGUAAACUUCUAUCAAUAGGGACGAAGGAAAUGACAGUACCUAAAUAAGAAGCCCCGGCUAACUACGUGCCAGCAGCCGCGGUAAUACGUAGGGGGCGAGCGUUAUCCGGAAUUACUGGGUGUAAAGGGAGCGUAGGCGGCAUGGUAAGUAAGAUGUGAAAGCCCGCAGCUUAACUGCGAGGAUUGCAUUUUAAACUAUCAAGCUAGAGUACAGGAGAGGAAAGCGGAAUUCCUAGUGUAGCGGUGAAAUGCGUAGAUAUUAGGAAGAACACCAGUGGCGAAGGCGGCUUUCUGGACUGAAACUGACGCUGAGGCUCGAAAGCGUGGGGAGCGAACA